rnacentral:rRNA from 1 species
AACGAACGCUGGCGGCAUGCCUAACACAUGCAAGUCGAACGAGACCUUCGGGUCUAGUGGCGCACGGGUGCGUAACGCGUGGGAACCUGCCCUUAGGUUCGGAAUAACUCCCCGAAAGGGGUGCUAAUACCGGAUAAUGUCUUCGGACCAAAGAUUUAUCGCCUUUGGAUGGGCCCGCGUUGGAUUAGCUAGUUGGUAUGGUAAAAGCCUACCAAGGCGACGAUCCAUAGCUGGUCUGAGAGGAUGAUCAGCCACACUGGGACUGAGACACAGCCCAGACUCCUACGGGAGGCAGCAGUGGGGAAUAUUGGACAAUGGGCGAAAGCCUGAUCCAGCAAUGCCGCGUGAGUGAUGAAGGCCUUAGGGUUGUAAAGCUCUUUUACCCGGGAUGAUAAUGACAGUACCGGGAGAAUAAGCUCCGGCUAACUCCGUG